rnacentral:ncRNA from 1 species
CAAAGGUUUGGUCCCAGCCUUACUAUCAAUUAUUACUUAACUUACACAUGCAAGUAUCUACACACCAGUGAAAACCCCCCAAUAACCAACAGGAAUAAGGAGCCGGCAUCAGACAACAAGCCUACGACGCCUAGCCACGCCACACCCACACGGGCCCCAGCAGUGAUAAAUAUUGACCAUGAGCAACCACUCGAACCAGUUAAGGUAAAUAGAGCCGGCAAAUCUAGUGCCAGCCGCCGCGGCUACACUACUGACUCAAAUUGAUAAAACCGGCGUUAAGAGUGACUAAAGCACCAAUAAAUUAGAACUGAACACUUACCAAGUUGUGAUGCACUUGUCCCCGGAACCACUAAACGAAAGUCCCUCUAAUAUAACCGCUUGACACACGAUAGCUGAGAAACAAACUAGAAUUAGAUACCCUACUAUGCCCAGCCGUAAAACAUUAACUCACACCAUACCCGCCAGAGAAAUACAAGCUUAGCUUGAAACUCAAAGGACUUGACGGUGCCCCACCCACCUAGAGGAGCCUGUUCUAUAAUCGAUAAUCCCCGAUCUACCCAACCUUUCCUAGCCAAAUCAGCCUGUAUACCUCCGUCGCAAGUUAACCCCAUGAGGACUUUUCAGACCCAAUAACCCCCCCCCCCCGCUAACACGUCAGGUCAAGGUGCAGCCCACGAAAAGGCAGCAAUUAGCUACAAUCUCUUACAGAGCAAACGGAAAUCUGCAUGAAACUCAGCAUGAAGGUGGAUUUAGCAGUAAAAAGAAACCAGAAGGUUCUUUUUAACAAGGCAAUGGGACGCGUACACACCGCCCGUCGUCCUCUUCUUUCCCCGCCCCACCCCAAAAUAUACCAAACAGAUCAAUAGAAGAGGCAAGUCGUAACACGGUAAGUGUACCGGAAGGUGCACUUGGCUAACG